rnacentral:rRNA from 1 species
ACUUAAGUGAAGAGUUUGAUCCUGGCUCAGAUUGAACGCUGGCGGCAUGCCUAACACAUGCAAGUCGAACGGCA